rnacentral:rRNA from 1 species
GGAUUUGCACAAUGGGCGAAGCCUGNUGCAGCAACGCCGCGUGCGCGAAGAAGGUCUUCGGAUCGUAAAGCGCUUUUCGGGGAGAUGAGGAAGGACAGUAUCCCCGGAAUAAGGCUCGGCUAACUACGUGCCAGCAGCCGCGGUAAAACGUAGGAGCCAAGCGUUAUCCGAAUUCACNUGGGCGUAAAGCGCGUGCAGGCGGCCUGGUAAGUUGGAUGUGAAAUCUCCUGGCUCAACUGGGAGAGGCCGUUCAAUACUGUCAGGCUAGAGGGCGACAGAGGGAGGUAGAAUUCCGGGUGUAGUGGUGAAAUGCGUAGAUAUCCGGAGGAAUACCAGAGGCGAAGGCGACCUCCUGGGUCGUACCUGACGCUCAGAUGCGAAAGCUAGGGGAGCGAACGGGAUUAGAAACCCCGGUAGUCCUAGCCGUAAACGAUGUAGACUGGGUGUUGGCGGGGUAAAAGCCGUCAGUGCCGAAGCAAACGCGAUAAGUCUACCGCCUGGGGACUACGGCCGCAAGGUUAAAACUCAAAAAAAUUGACGGA